CUCCUUAUCCUUCACACGCACGCCUACCCAUCGAAGCCACCGCAUACCACGCCGCAAGUCGCCGCCCAGGAUCGUUCCCUCCUCCCCACCAGGCUCGAGGAGGCGGCCAUGAGGAGCGCGCAGCCGCCGCAAUCCUGGGCAGAUCUAGCCGGGGUCGUCGGCAGCCAUCCAUCCCUCCGGGCGGCCAUGAAGAAUUGAAGCGGCUUGCGCGGAACUAGCGCAUGGACCAUGCGCGCCUCCCGCGCUAGGAGCCACCGGUCCUCGUCAUCUACUAGCAUCCACAAGGAAUCGAUCCAUAUUUAAGCUACCUUCCACAAUAAUCCAUCCAACAGGCUGCUUGCUUGUUUGUGUACUAGUGCCAAGGGGAGCAAGAUGCAAGGACGACAUCGAGGGUACAUGCCCGCUGCUAAUUGAUUCUCCUGGUAAUAAUAGUAGUACGUACGUGUUCCUGCCCAUGGUGGAGAUGCAUAUACCCGAAUACUCGUAACUUAUCCAUACAUACUCAAAUACUCUCAAACUGGCACGUAUACAUACAUACCCGAAUACCUGUGCGAUUUUUUAAUUCAGCUAAAUAGGUCUACUGAUUGUCAAAUUUGGUAGUAGAAAUUGUGAAGAGCAACACCGACAUGUACUUUACUGAUAGGGAAUGUAGGUGUAAUACAUAGUGCUUUUCAUGGUAAGGGUUCUAGUACAUGUAUGAUCAUUUUAGUGUAGUAUAUCCCAACUUCACUAUGAAAAUACAGCAGAAACUUGUCUGUUUAUUUCACUUCAAUUAUUAUAUUUUGUCGUAUCUCAAUCUCAUAUGCUUGUUUGAUAUAUAAUCCAAUGGGUGAUAGCAUCACUUUUUACAACUACCCAUCAGGGUUACCUUUUUAUUUAGGUAAAUGUAAGACUUCAUCACCUUUUACCAAGUAUCCAUCCUGGUUACAUUAUGCGCAAAAUAGGUUCCAAAUUUAAUUCCAGGGCGACUGCACAGGGCCCCCAAAAAUUAGGGUUCUUGUCUGAUGCUUUAUCUUGUAUUCGGUUUGUCUUGAUGCUUUAUCUCUGGUGGUUCUUGUCUGAUGCACACUGUUCUUUGAGGGCCGUUGACGAGGAUAUGCGAGGUGGGCGACUGCACAGGGCCCCCAAAAAUUAGGGGGCUUCAAAUCAUGUAUAUGUGUUCUUCAUCGCCAUGGAUCUGAGAAUGCCCGAACUGCUUGUUUUUGUUGGAGAAGAGAGAACAUGAAGAAGAGGGACCUGGGUCGUGGGCCCCUUUGGCGAAGGGGUAAGUGCCUACUGCAGGUCUGGUUCAACCAGCUGGACUUGUGCGAUUCAGCCACUUCUUCAGGGAGCCACAAAAAACCAGUCAGUGCACCUGAUCGAAAUACGAGAGGGGAAAGCCCUAGAUGGAUGACGUGGUCAUGGCUGACGGCCGCACCGAUACGAGCGGCAUCCUUGGUUCCUCUGCGUGUCCUAGGGCGGCGAGGCCCAUGAUCUCGUCCAUGGAGCACUGUAGCAUCAUUGUUGUGCCUCUGCUAUCAUCCGUCGCCAGAACAAGCAGGCAUGUACGUUUCCCUUGCCUGGCGCAUUCCCAUAGUCAAUGUGCCAACGAAGAGGAUUGACAGAUAAGAAAGUAGUCCAAACUUUCAAAAUACCUUUUUUAGAGAUCUAGUCCUAAUAAGACUCCAGGUGCAAGGUUAACUGUUAUUUCUUCAAGUGCGCUCUAACUGUUAUUUCUUCAAGUGCGCUCAUACAAGCUGAACAAGGAAUUCUCAAAUGUUUAAAGCAAUGGAUCCAAAGAUCUAGCUCGACUGGACUCUAGAUCACGGACAGUUAGUCUUGGCCUUAAUUAGGAUGGCUAAAUUACAUUUGAGUAUCAUUUGAUGGAUAUUUGCUAUGAGAAUUAUGAAUUUUAUGAAUCUAUAUAUUAUACGUAUGGUUUUGAAUAUUGUAA